rnacentral:lncRNA from 1 species
UUUGCCACUACAUUUUUUGUUGCAAAACGGUGAAAACAAGGCACUUAUUACCGUUUUGCAACCGAAAAUGCGGUCACAAAAACCAUGUUUUCUAGAGAGUUUCUUUAAAAUAUCCAUGACUUCUAAGUGUUUUCAUGGUCAUUCUAGAGUGUUUUUGGCUGAUCUAGAGUCUUCCGAUGGUGCCAACAGCAACUUGUAGGUUGUUCUAGAAACUUCCGGGCAGCCCUAGACGCAUCUUUACUGUUCCGGAACCUUCCGGAACUCACGAAAAAAGUUGUGUAUUUUGGCGGAUCGUGACAUUUACCUCUACCCCGUAUGAAUAGAGAGGUUGCUUCCAGGGAGACCCCCGGCUCGAUUGUAGUUUUGUAUUAAGCCUUGGAUCUAAGACACAUAAUACUCAAACAAUCGAGAUAGAGACUGAUUGGUGCAUGUACCCCCGUAAUAGGUACGUGCUCCCAAAAUUUGUAUUGAGUACCCCUACCAAUAUCAACCGAAGGACGCUCAUCGAUAGGAUUUUCCACAGGUGAUCAUGAAUUUGAAUUUUGUUUUAACGGAUGUAAUAAAAUCCUCUUUAUAGAGAAUUUGGAUUUAGGGGUUUGGAUGAGGAUUGAUGAUUUUUGAGUAUUAUAUUUUGAUGUAUUACAGUUUCUCUAAAAGUUUUUUUUUGG